AUUGAACGCUGGCGGCAGGCCUAACACAUGCAAGUCGAGCGAGCGGCGGACGCGUGAGUAAUGUCUGGGAAACUGCCUGAUGGAGGGGGGUAACUACUGGAAAAGGUAGCUAAUACCGCAUACCCUCAGGUGUGCCCAGAUGGGAUUAGCUCGUAGGUGGGGUAACGGCGCACCUAGGCGACGAUCCCUCGCUGGUCUGAGAGGAUGACCAGCCACACUGGAACUGAGACACGGCCCAGACUCCUACGAGAGGCAGCAGUGGGGAAUAUUGCACAAUGGGCGCAAGCCUGAUGCAGCCAGGCCGCGUGUGUGAAGAAGGCCUUAGGGUUGUAAAGCACUUUCAGCGGGGAGGCGUUACCCGCAGAAGAAGCACCGGCUAACUCCGUGCCAGCAGCCGCGGUAAUAC
rnacentral:rRNA from 1 species